UUUUUUCCUUCUCAAAGUUAUCAUGGGCAGACCUAGAACAUUUUCUUGGACUUUAGUGCAACUGAAAUCUUUUUGAUAGCUUUCUCAUUCAUUUGAGACCAAUGUAUCUUCCCUUCAGAGCUAUAGUUUGAGUACUGGGUACAGUUCUGCGUAGAGUCACUUCUCUGUAGUCUGAGAAAACCAUAGUGCGGGAGGGAAGGAGCUUAGACAGCACUAAGUUGAAUUCUUGCUUGAGGACCUGGAUUCUGAUCGCUCAAUAAAGAUCCUCUUGGCUGGGCGCGGUGGCUCACCCCUGUAAUCCCAACACUUUGGGAGGCCGAGGCAGGUGGAUCUCUUGAGCUCAGGAGUUUGAGACCAGUCUGGGCAACAUGGCAAAACCCCAUCUCUACAAAAAAUACAAAAAAUUAGUGGGGCCGUGGUGAUGUGCACCUGUAGUCCCAGCUACCUGGGGGGCUAAGGCAGGAGGAUCACUUGAGCCCAGGAGGUCGAGGCUGCAGUGAGCCGAGAUUGUGCUACUUUACUCCAGCCAGGGUGACAAAGUAAGACUCUGUCUUCCAAUCAUGGGUCUUUCCUACUUCCAUGAGCUUCAGCUUAUUGUGUUGACUAAGAGUGCCCUGGAAGAUGGCAAGCUAGGAGGACUGCUUUUCUUCCUGGCUUAUCCUGUCAUAGCAGCCAAGUCUGUUAAGAGUCCUAGCUCAGUGCUGGAAUCAAGCAAGAGCUCUGAAGCAGCCUCCGUAAGCUACUGUAAGCCUCCUUCUCUUCCAGGACAGAAUCCAAUUUCUUAAGCAAUUGUGGAGGCAUGGUUUAUAUCAACUUCUCAUUUUCAAAAUUAUGAGGAAAUUUCUUAGUGUUCAUAGUUUGAUGAACUUACAUAACACUAAAUAAUACCUUGCUCUUCGAGUGGAACACUUAGUCUCAAGUGUGAGAUUUGUCCAAAGCUGGCUGGGCGUGGUGACUUUUGCCUGUAAUCCCAGCACUUUGGGAGGCCGAGGCAGGAGGAUCACUUGAAGUCAAGAGGUCAAGACCAGCCUGGCCAACAUGGCA
rnacentral:lncRNA from 1 species